AAAUUGAAGAGUUUGAUCAUGGCUCAGAUUGAACGCUGGCGGCAGGCCUAACACAUGCAAGUCGAACGGUAACAGAAAGCAGCUUGCUGCUUCGCUGACGAGUGGCGGACGGGUGAGUAAUGUCUGGGAAACUGCCUGAUGGAGGGGGAUAACUACUGGAAACGGUAGCUAAUACCGCAUAACGUCGCAAGACCAAAGAGGGGGACCUUCGGGCCUCUUGCCAUCGGAUGUGCCCAGAUGGGAUUAGCUUGUUGGUGGGGUAACGGCUCACCAAGGCGACGAUCCCUAGCUGGUCUGAGAGGAUGACCAGCCACACUGGAACUGAGACACGGUCCAGACUCCUACGGGAGGCAGCAGUGGGGAAUAUUGCACAAUGGGCGCAAGCCUGAUGCAGCCAUGCCGCGUGUAUGAAGAAGGCCUUCGGGUUGUAAAGUACUUUCAGCGGGGAGGAAGGGAGUAAAGUUAAUACCUUUGCUCAUUGACGUUACCCGCAGAAGAAGCACCGGCUAACUCCGUGCCAGCAGCCGCGGUAAUACGGAGGGUGCAAGCGUUAAUCGGAAUUACUGGGCGUAAAGCGCACGCAGGCGGUUUGUUAAGUCAGAUGUGAAAUCCCCGGGCUCAACCUGGGAACUGCAUCUGAUACUGGCAAGCUUGAGUCUCGUAGAGGGGGGUAGAAUUCCAGGUGUAGCGGUGAAAUGCGUAGAGAUCUGGAGGAAUACCGGUGGCGAAGGCGGCCCCCUGGACGAAGACUGACGCUCAGGUGCGAAAGCGUGGGGAGCAAACAGGAUUAGAUACCCUGGUAGUCCACGCCGUAAACGAUGUCGACUUGGAGGUUGUGCCCUUGAGGCGUGGCUUCCGGAGCUAACGCGUUAAGUCGACCGCCUGGGGAGUACGGCCGCAAGGUUAAAACUCAAAUGAAUUGACGGGGGCCCGCACAAGCGGUGGAGCAUGUGGUUUAAUUCGAUGCAACGCGAAGAACCUUACCUGGUCUUGACAUCCACGGAAGUUUUCAGAGAUGAGAAUGUGCCUUCGGGAACCGUGAGACAGGUGCUGCAUGGCUGUCGUCAGCUCGUGUUGUGAAAUGUUGGGUUAAGUCCCGCAACGAGCGCAACCCUUAUCCUUUGUUGCCAGCGGUCCGGCCGGGAACUCAAAGGAGACUGCCAGUGAUAAACUGGAGGAAGGUGGGGAUGACGUCAAGUCAUCAUGGCCCUUACGACCAGGGCUACACACGUGCUACAAUGGCGCAUACAAAGAGAAGCGACCUCGCGAGAGCAAGCGGACCUCAUAAAGUGCGUCGUAGUCCGGAUUGGAGUCUGCAACUCGACUCCAUGAAGUCGGAAUCGCUAGUAAUCGUGGAUCAGAAUGCCACGGUGAAUACGUUCCCGGGCCUUGUACACACCGCCCGUCACACCAUGGGAGUGGGUUGCAAAAGAAGUAGGUAGCUUAACCUUCGGGAGGGCGCUUACCACUUUGUGAUUCAUGACUGGGGUGAAGUCGUAACAAGGUAACCGUAGGGGAACCUGCGGUUGGAUCACCUCCUUA
rnacentral:rRNA from 1 species